rnacentral:rRNA from 1 species
UGGCGGCAGGCCUAACACAUGCAAGUCGAACGGUAACAGGAAGAAGCUUGCUUCUUUGCUGACGAGUGGCGGACGGGUGAGUAAUGUCUGGGAAACUGCCUGAUGGAGGGGGAUAACUACUGGAAACGGUAGCUAAUACCGCAUAACGUCGCAAGACCAAAGAGGGGGACCUUCGGGCCUCUUGCCAUCGGAUGUGCCCAGAUGGGAUUAGCUAGUAGGUGGGGUAAAGGCUCACCUAGGCGACGAUCCCUAGCUGGUCUGAGAGGAUGACCAGCCACACUGGAACUGAGACACGGUCCAGACUCCUACGGGAGGCAGCAGUGGGGAAUAUUGCACAAUGGGCGCAAGCCUGAUGCAGCCAUGCCGCGUGUAUGAAGAAGGCCUUCGGGUUGUAAAGUACUUUCAGCGGGGAGGAAGGGAGUAAAGUUAAUACCUUUGCUCAUUGACGUUACCCGCAGAAGAAGCACCGGCUAACUCCGUGCCAGCAGCCGCGGUAAUACGGAGGGUGCAAGCGUUAAUCGGAAUUACUGGGCGUAAAGCGCACGCAGGCGGUUUGUUAAGUCAGAUGUGAAAUCCCCGGGCUCAACCUGAGAACUGCAUCUGAUACUGGCAAGCUUGAGUCUCGUAGAGGGGGGUAGAAUUCCAGGUGUAGCGGUGAAAUGCGUAGAGAUCUGGAGGAAUACCGGUGGCGAAGGCGGCCCCCUGGACGAAGACUGACGCUCAGAUGCGAAAGCGUGGGGGAGCAAACAGGAUUAGAUACCCUGGUAGUCCACGCCGUAAACGAUGUCGACUUGGAGGUUGUGCCCUUGAGGCGUGGCUUCCGGAGCUAACGCGUUAAGUCGACCGCCUGGGGAGUACGGCCGCAAGGUUAAAACUCAAAUGAAUUGACGGGGGCCCGCACAAGCGGUGGAGCAUGUGGUUUAAUUCGAUGCAACGCGAAGAACCUUACCUGGUCUUGACAUCCACAGAACCUUGUAGAGAUACGAGGGUGCCUUCGGGAACUGUGAGACAGGUGCUGCAUGGCUGUCGUCAGCUCGUGUUGUGAAAUGUUGGGUUAAGUCCCGCAACGAGCGCAACCCUUAUCCUUUGUUGCCAGCGGUCCGGCCGGGAACUCAAAGGAGACUGCCAGUGAUAAACUGGAGGAAGGUGGGGAUGACGUCAAGUCAUCAUGGCCCUUACGACCAGGGCUACACACGUGCUACAAUGGCGCAUACAAAGAGAAGCGACCUCGCGAGAGCAAGCGGACCUCAUAAAGUGCGUCGUAGUCCGGAUUGGAGUCUGCAACUCGACUCCAUGAAGUCGGAAUCGCUAGUAAUCGUGGAUCAGAAUGCCACGGUGAAUACGUCCCCGGGCCUUGUACACACCGCCCGUCACACCAUGGGAGUGGGUUGCAAAAGAAGUAGGUAGCUUAACCUUCGGGAGGGCGCUUACCACUUUGUGAUUCAUGACUGGGGUGAAAUC